GCUUUAUAUGUUAUGUUCAGGUGUCAUGUCUCUGUGAUCUCCCUCUAGUCUGUGGCUUUCUUUAGCCUUUCCUUUUGUCCCUUCACUGGCCAUUCCCUGAACAGACAGGUGUUCUACAGAGGGCCCCUCUUCUAUUUCCCAGGUUGCAGUUUUUCUGACACGAAUGCACAAACUGCAUCCCUCUGGGGACAGUACAAGAAGCUGGUGGUAUGGGCUGGUCCUCAGGCUGCUCCUGUGUGUAUCACCCCUGACUAAUUAUGCCGGCUUGCUUUCUUCCCUCCUUUUCUGCUGAGCAAGUAAUUUAUGAGGAGACACUCUUAGGUCCUGUAUACAUCCUGCCAAGAACACAACAGCUUGCAAGGGAGGCGUGCCUCCAUCCCUGCAUUCAGGAAGAACUCAGAGACAACUUUUUAAUUUAAAUUUUUUUUUUUCAGAUCUGAGAAUGGAUCCAGGGCCUCACAUGUAGCAGAAAGACUCGGUGUCUUAAUGGUUUGGUGGAGUGGCA
rnacentral:lncRNA from 1 species